rnacentral:pre_miRNA from 1 species
UACAUACUCCCUCCGUCCGAAAAAGCUUGUCCCUCAAAUGGAUGUAUCUAGCACCAAGUUAGUGCUAGAUACAUCCAUUUGAGGGACAAGCUUGGGACAAGCUUUUUUGGACGGAGGGAGUAAAAU